UCAGGGAUGGCCGGGCCGCGAUCGGGGCCGGCAGCGCCGGCUCGGGGUCGGAUCGGUGGAAACCUCCCGGGGCUGGACAUUUCUGCGGGGAGGGAGCGGCGCGUACCGAGUACACCGCCGGAGAUUGCCUCCCUUCGCUCUAAGGUUGGCUUUACGUCCAGGUCUCCCAGCGCCAAGUGCUCGAGCUGGAAGGUUGUCGUGACUGACACAGCUGCUGCUGCUGCCCACGCCCUGGAGGUUAAAUGCUGAGCCCGGCUGUGUAUGAGGGCCCGAUUCGUUCCUGCACCGGGUCCCUUGGGAGCAGAUGGGAUGGGGCAGCCACUCCAGCGAUGUUGUUGGCACACUGAGCCAGCCCCGCCUGCAGCGACACACGCAGCACUCGGGCAAGAGUAGAUCCAGAAAAAACCCCUCAUGUUGACUGGCAGCAUGCUGGAAAUGUAGAAGGGAUUCAGUGGCCUCUAAAGGAAAUACAGUUUUAAAUCCUGCCCUGGCUUCCUCUGAAACCUGCAGUGACUUUACUUUGAACUGCAAGGGAGUGAUAUCCACCCUCAGCUGAUGUCGCAGUGCCAAUAAACACGUUCCAUUUGGAGGAAGGGAAAGAAAGCCUGUCUUGACACUGUGUCUGCUCAACCAGAUAAAGAGAAAAUAUUGUCUUCUGAGGAUUCAUCCUUUCACUGUAGUCCUUCAAAGAACUGUAGAUCUGAGAUGCCCUUCAUGAGUUUGCUUGUAUCAUGAGCAAGGAAAUAGUGGAAGAGCCAUGCUUGUUUUUUCCCACACUGAAGCCAAGAAAAAAAAACUGUUUGAAGAAAAACUGAUGGUAUUUUUCUAAAGAGGUUACUAUUUUUCUUCCCUUUCCUGCUGCAGCUUCUGUUCUCUUUCAUUGCUCUCUUUUCAUGGUAGGAGAGCAGGUGCAAGGCAGAUGCUUUGGCAGUAGAGAUGUUCUAGUACUAUAAUUAUAAUCAACAUUUCUGUGUAAAAUACCCAAGGGUUUAUGCGUGCACAACACAUAUAGGAAGUUCCACAUGGAGUUUUCAGUUGCUUGCUCUUAGUCAUAAAUGCUAACAUGUUUAAUCUUCUGGAGAAUUCCAUUUUUGGAGGGGGUGGGGAGGCAGUGGUGGGUAAGGGGUGAAAUGAGAGGUAAUGUCUCUGGAAAGUACUGGUUUGACCAGGUUUAAUCCUCCCUUGCGUUCAAGAUGCCCUUGGUGUAGUGGAAUGAGAGGAAGCAUUGUGAAUACUCUGCAAAAGCUUGGAUUUAUGAAUGGCAUCAGCCUCAGGUACGUGUGUAAGGCUGACAGUGGAGAAGGACCAGAGGCCUGAGCAGCACUAGGCUUUGUCAUUUUUAUGGGCUUUACAUGGGUAUGGGAUUCCCUAUCACAGGCCAAGUAGCGGGACAAAUCUGUAAUGGAACUCAGGGCCAGAAAGCAGUGGCAGCACAAGCUUUCUGGGAGCACUCCCUGGAGGAGGAGGACAUGGGGUUUGUGUCCUCCUCUGUGCUAUGCAUGCAAACUACAGUGACAGUUGGGGUAAUGCCUUUCUGAGGCAGACACAAGAAAUUAGCUUGGCUUAACAGCACACCUCAGUGAGCACUGGAACCAAGGAUAUAAUUUUCAAUAAAUCAUUUAUUUCAAAAUGUUUGUCUUUGUGUGUGCAAAUGUACAUGUUUCUUUAUUUCUGUAAUAUAACUGUGUACAGGCUGAGAAAUACUUGAAUUUUGUUUGUUUAUUUUAAAACAUACAUCUCCAUUUUUAAUAAAUUAUGCACAAACCUG